rnacentral:tRNA from 13 species
GGUUCAGUUCCCUAGGGGUAUGAUUCUCGCUCAGGGUGCGAGAGGACCCGGGUUCAAAUCCCGGUCGAAUCC